CAGUCGCCGCGGGAAUACGAAGGGGACUAGCGUUGCUCGGAAUCACUGGGCGUAAAGGGUGCGUAGGCGGGUCUUUAAGUCAGGGGUGAAAUCCUGGAGCUCAACUCCAUAACUGCCUUUGAUACUGAAGAUCUUGAGUUCGGGAGAGGUGAGUGGAACUGCGAGUGUAGAGGUGAAAUUCGUAGAUAUUCGCAAGAACACCAGUGGCGAAGGCGGCUCACUGGCCCGAUACUGACGCUGAGGCACGAAAGCGUGGGGAGCAAACAGGAUUAGAUACCCGCGUAGUCCCUGUCUCUUAUAC
rnacentral:rRNA from 1 species